CACAAAUAAAUCCCUUGCUUUUGCUAGUCAUAACUGAACUGUGCCUUAAGUUAUUUUCUGGUGACUUCUGGUCAAUUCCCUCUGGAUCGACCAAAAAAGAAAGGAGAUGGGAAAUUGCAUUUAUGUUCUUUUUUUUUUUUUAAAGGAAGACAAGCAAACAAAAUGUAAUUAGAGAUCAUAUGAGAUCUACUUUAAAAAAAUAUUUAUUUAUUCAUAUAUAUAUAGAUAGAGAGAGAGAGAGAGAGAGAGAGAGCCAGAGACACAGGAGGAGGGAGAAGCAGGCUCCAUGCCGGGAGCCCGACGUGGGACUCAAUCCCACGACUCCAGGAUCGCGCCCUGGGCCAAAGGCAGGCGCUAAACCGCUGAGCCACCCAGGGAUCCCCUGAGAUCUACUUUAAUCGAAGUUGUUUUUAAACUAUAAUUGAUAACGAUAUCGUAACAAUAGACUGAUAAGCAACCCCGGUCGGAGACUGGGUGCCGCUCUCGCUGCCCCAUUUCCCCCAACAUGCUGAGCUACCCGGGGCUAUAUUUGUCCCCAAGACGGUGAAAACAGAUCAGCUUUUCUUUACGAAGACUCUAUGGAGCUGUUUCUUCCAGAGGGUGGGCAAUUCAGGAAAGGAGUCCAGUAGCCUAUCCGGCAACAAUGACAGUCUUUAAAAUGGAGCUACACCUCUAGCAACAGAAACCAGCAGCUGUGAAAAGUGGAGCUAAACCUGUCACUAGCGGCUGAGCAUCUCUUGGGAACACUGGCCCCCGCAGCACCGGUCGCGCGCGGUCCAGGGCCUGCUGGACGCGGCUGCCGGCGGGGCGGACGCCUGCUCCCGGUCCCGGAGGCUCAGCCCAAGCCGAGGCCGGCGCGCAGCCUCCCCCCGCGCCGGGCCGGGGUCCGCCGGCGGGAGCGCGCUCAGCCGGGAGGUGCAAAAGUCGGCCGUGGCCCGGAGCUCCCGGGUUUGUUUGGUUUUGUCCGCGUCCUGCCCCCCGCCCUACCCCCCUUCGAGCAAAGGCCAAGGGUUUUUGACCCACCGUCGCCCAGGCCGAGUUCACACUUAGGGCCCUUUAGCCGCCGUCCUGCGGACACAGAAAGCGAUCGCGCAGUGAAGCGAGAGCACUUGAAUGAACGCGGGUCCGCGAGAAAAUUUUUCUUCCUGGCUGAGCGCGCCAGCCGCACGGGGGGCGGGGGGUCCUCUUUCCCGGAAGAUCCCCCUGCACACCAGCGCCCUGCACACCCCACGGUGGCCACGCACAUCAUUUGUGCCGUGGAGUUUGGAAAUGGAGGCGUGAGCACGGUGGACUGGGGGGGGCGGCCUGGCAGGGGGUGUGGGGUGUGGGGGUGUGGGGUGUGCGGGUGGCGGUGGGGGACGUGCGCCCAGCGCUCUCCGGGAGGGCGGGGGGCCCCAAGGCCACUCGCGGGCGCGAGGGCCGCGGGAGGCCGGGAGGCGGGGCGGGGGGAGGGGGCGCGGGGUCCCCGGCGCGGAGGUUCUGGGGAAGCGGGAGGGGCAGCACCUGAGGAAUCCGCCUCCGGCCGCGGCGGCCGCCGCCUCGCUCCGCCCCGGGGAACUGAGCGCGCGGCGAGCUCGCCUGCCAGAGAGACGCCAGCCACCGGCGGCGCUAGCAGCUCGGCGGAGGCGGCCGGAGCGAGCGCGGCGCAGCGCCGGGACCCGGACUGGGGGUGGGGAGGCGAGCCCCGGCCGAGGCGAGGGCCACCCCCCGGUCCUCUGCCCGAGCGCCCCGCCAGGGCCAGGAGAUUUUUGACCAAUUUGGUUGUUUAA
rnacentral:lncRNA from 1 species